rnacentral:lncRNA from 1 species
GGGUUACCAUCCAUUGACCCAUCAGGCAGCUCCCCAUCUUCCUCUUCUGCUCCUCUGGCAAGUUUUUCCGGCAUACCAGGAACAAGGGUUUUCCUGCAAGGGCCAGCUCCUGUUGGGACUCCUAGUUUCAACAGACAACAUUUUUCUCCCCAUCCUUGGACAAGCGCCUCAAACUCAUCCACUUCUGCCCCACCAACGUUGGGCCAACCAAAAGGAGUCAGUGCCAGUCAAGAUCGAAAGAUACCUCCCCCAAUUGGAACAGAGAGACUGGCCCGAAUUCGGCAAGGAGGGUCUGUUGCACAAGCCCCGGCGGGGACCAGUUUUGUCGCUCCCGUUGGACACAGUGGAAUCUGGUCAUUUGGUGUCAAUGCUGUGUCAGAAGGCUUAUCAGGUUGGUCGCAAUCUGUGAUGGGGAACCAUCCAAUGCAUCAACAAUUAUCAGACCCAAGCACAUUCUCCCAACAUCAGCCAAUGGAGAGAGAUGAUUCUGGAAUGGUAGCCCCCUCUAACAUUUUUCAUCAGCCUAUGGCAAGUGGGUCUGCCAAUUUCCAUGUAUGGAGGCACCAUAAUACCCUCUCAUCCUCAGCUUGCUGAUGUUCCAGGAGGCCCUCUGUUUAAUGGACUUCACAAUCCAGAUCCUGCUUGGAACCCUAUGAUAAAAGUUAUCCAAAAUUCAACUGAAUGCACUGAUGCCCAGCAGGCCAGUCUGCUUCCUUCAGUCCCUGCUCUCAAAGGGGAAAUCCCAUCACCUCAGCUAACCAGACCGAAGAAGAGAAUUGGACGGCCGAUGGUGGCCUCUCCUAACCAGAGGCACCAGGAUCAUCUACGACCGAAAGUUCCUGCUGGAGUGCAAGAACUCACCCAUUGCCCGGACACCCCCCUGCUGCCUCCCUCAGAUUCCCGGGGUCACAACUCCUCCAACAGCCCCUCUCUCCAAGCUGGAGGAGCUGAAGGAGCAGGAGACAGAGGAAGAGAUACCCGAUGACGCACAAUUUGAAAUGGACAUCUAAUCCAGUGCAGAUGACCUGGCAUGUGGAGUUACAGAGGGAUCCCUCAUGCCACUGCUGCCACCACCUCUUCCUGGGGCAUCCAAAGGCCAGCUGGCCUCAUCUAAUCUGGAAGGGAGUGACUUGUUAGUUCCAGGCCUCCUUUAGUUCUGAGGCAGCUAGACCAGGGAUAGGAGUGGGCAACUUGCCAAGCCCUUAACUCUACUUCCUCUUCAGUCUGUGGUACUCCUCCUAACCCUAAACCCUCUAUGCUCAGGGGCUGGAACUGGGGAAUGGAGUAAGUCACCUUCUGACUGCUUAGUAAACAUUCAAA